rnacentral:rRNA from 1 species
GACGAACGCUGGCGGCGUGGAUUAGGCAUGCAAGUUGAGCGACGGUUAAGAGCUUGCUCUUAAUACGGAGCAGCGAACGGGUGCGUAACACGUGAGCAACCUGCCUAAGUGUGGGGGAUAGCCGGCCCAACGGCCGGGUAAUACCGCAUACGAUCACUAGUCGGCAUCGACAUGUGAUGAAACUUUCGAGGCACUUAGAG